UACGAAGGGGGGCUAGCGUUGUUCGGAAUUACUGGGCGUAAAGCGCACGUAGGCGGGUUGUUAAGUCAGGGGGUGAAAAUCCUGGAGCUCAACUCCAGAACUGCCUUUGAUACUGGCAACCUAGAGACUGGAAGAGGUUAGUGGAAUUCCCAGUGUAGAGGUGAAAUUCGUAGAUAUUGGGAAGAACACCAGUGGCGAAGGCGGCUAACUGGUCCAGCACUGACGCUGAGGUGCGAAAGCGUGGGGAGCAAACAGG
rnacentral:rRNA from 1 species